rnacentral:rRNA from 1 species
UACGAAGGGGGCUAGCGUUGCUCGGAAUCACUGGGCGUAAAGGGUGCGUAGGCGGGUCUUAAGUCAGGGGUGAAAUCCUGGAGCUCAACUCCAGAACUGCCUUUGAUACUGAAGGUCUUGAGUUCGGGAGAGGUGAGUGGAACUGCGAGUGUAGAGGUGAAAUUCGUAGAUAUUCGCAAGAACACCAGUGGCGAAGGCGGCUCACUGGCCCGAUACUGACGCUGAUGCACGAAAGCGUGGGGAGCAAACAGG